rnacentral:rRNA from 1 species
AUUGCACCCGAUGUACUUAUGCGCCUGAGAGGUAUCGAACACUUGACUGGACCGGCCAAAAUCUCUCGGAGGCAACAGUUUGAAUUCUCCCGCAAAUUGGACGAAGUUUGACCGAGAAACCGCCGCGUGAAGGUAAAGAAAGCUUCCGAUCUGUAAAACUCUGUUGUUGCGAAGGAACAAGGAUGUAAGAGGUAACCUGUUCUAUCCCUUGACGGUUUCUAAUACAGAAAAGCACCGCCUAAACUACCGUUCCAGCAGCCCCGGGUAAAUCGUAAGGUGGCCAAGCGGUUUCCGGAUUUAUUGGGCGUAAAACGAGACGGCAGCCGGUUUCUUAAGUCUGAUGUGAAAACCCCCCGCGUCCAACCGGGGAGGGGUCAUUGAAACUGGGAGCUUGAGUGCAGAAGGAGGAGAGGUGGAAUUUCCACUGGUGCGGUGAAAUGCGUAGAUAUAUGGAGGGACACCCAGUGGCGAAGGCGGCUCUCUUGUUCUGUAACUGACGCUGAGGCUCUGAAAACGUUGGGAGCAAACAAGAAUUAGAUACCUCGUAGUUCCCGCCGUUAAAGGUGAGUGCUAAGUGUUGGAGGGUUUCCCCCCUUCAGUGCCGCAGCUAACGCAUUAAGCACUCCGCCUGGGGAGUACGACCGCAAGGUUGAAACUCAAAGGAAUUGACCGGGGCCCGCACAAGCGGUGGAGCAUGUGGUUUAAUUCGAAGCAACGCGAAGACCUUUCCAGGUCUUGACAUCCUUUGGGCGGGGGUAAAAAAAAGAACUUCCCCUUCGGGGGCAAAGUGACAGGUGGUGCAUGGUUGUCGUCAGCUCGAAAAAAAAGAUGUUGGGUUAAGUCCCGCAACGAGCGCAACCCUUAUUGUUAGUUGCCAUCAUUUAGUUGGGCACUCUAGCAAGGCUGCCGGUGACAAACCGGAGGAAGGUGGGGAUGACGUCAAAUCCUCAUGCCCCUUAUGACCUGGGCUACACACGUGCUACAAUGGGAAGUACAACGAGUUGCGAAGUCGCGAGGCUAAGCUAAUCUCUUAAAGCUUCUCUCAGUUCGGAUUGCAGGCUGCAACUCGCCUGCAUGAAGCCGGAAUCGCUAGUAAUCGCGGAUCAGCACGCCGCGGUGAAUACGUUCCCG